rnacentral:rRNA from 1 species
AUUGAACGCUGGCGGCAUGCUUUACACAUGCAAGUCGAACGGUAACAGGCCUUUGGGCGCUGACGAGUGGCGAACGGGUGAGUAAUGCAUCGGAACGUGCCCAGUCGUGGGGGAUAACGCAGCGAAAGCUGUGCUAAUACCGCAUACGAUCUGUGGAUGAAAGCGGGGGACCUUCGGGCCUCGCGCGAUUGGAGCGGCCGAUGUCAGAUUAGGUAGUUGGGGGGGUAAAGGCCCACCAAGCCAACGAUCUGUAGCUGGUCUGAGAGGACGACCAGCCACACUGGGACUGAGACACGGUCCAGACUCCUACGGGAGGCAGCAGUGGGGAAUUUUGGACAAUGGGCGCAAGCCUGAUCCAGCAAUGCCGCGUGAGUGAAGAAGGCCUUCGGGUUGUAAAGCUCUUUUGUCAGGGAAGAAACGGCUGGGGUUAAUACCCCUGGCUAAUGACGGUACCUGAAGAAUAAGCACCGGCUAACUACGUGCCAGCCGCCGCAGUAACAC